rnacentral:rRNA from 1 species
UACGUAGGCAGCAAGCGUUGUUCGGAGUUACUGGGCGUAAAGGGUGCGUAGGUGGCUCUAUAAGUAUGGUGUGAAAUCUCCCGGCUUAACUGGGAGGGUGCGCCGUAGACUGUGGGGCUAGAGUGUGGGAGAGGAAAGUGGAAUCCCUGGUGUAGCGGUGAAAUGCGUAGAGAUCGGGAAGAACAUCUGUGGCGAAGGCGGCCAGCUGGGCUGUUGCUGACGCUGAUGCGCGACAGCGUGGGGAGCAAACGGG